rnacentral:rRNA from 1 species
GUAGGGAGCAAGCGUUGUUCGGAAUUAUUGGGCGUAAAGAGCGCGUAGGCUGUUUAGUAAGUCCGAUGUGAAAUCCCAGAGCUCAACUCUGGAACUGCAUUGGAAACUGCUAGGCUGGAGUGCGGGAGAGGUGAGUGGAAUUCCCAGUGUAGAGGUGAAAUUCGUAGAUAUUGGGAGGAACACCGGUGGCGAAGGCGGCUCACUGGACCGCAACUGACGCUGAGGCGCGAAAGCUAGGGGAGGAAACGGGAUUAGAUACCCCGGUAGUCCUAGCCGUAAACGAUGGGCACUAGGUGUAGGAGGUAUCGACCCCUCCUGUGCCGCAGCUAACGCAUUAAGUGCCCCGCCUGGGGAGUACGGUCGCAAGACUA